CCUACGGGAGGCAGCAGUUGGGAAUAUUGCGCAAUGGGCGAAAGCCUGACGCAGCGACGCCGCGUGAGGGAUGAAGGUCUUCGGAUCGUAAACCUCUGUCAGCAGGGAAGAACGGUCACUGUGCUAAUCAGCAGUGAAUUGACGGUACCUGCAAAGGAAGCACCGGCUAACUCCGUGCCAGCAGCCGCGGUAAUACGGAGGGUGCGAGCGUUAAUCGGAAUUACUGGGCGUAAAGCGCUCGUAGGCGGUAUGUCAAGUCAAGGGUGAAAUCCCCGCGCUCUACGUGGGAACUGCCUUUGAAACUGGCAAACUGGAGUGUGUGAGAGGAUAGUGGAAUUCCAGGUGUAGGAGUGAAAUGCGUAGAUAUCUGGAGGAACAUCAGUGGCGAAGGCGACUAUCUGGCACAUAACUGACGCUGAGGAGCGAAAGCGUGGGUAGCAAACAGGAUUAGAUACCCUUGUAGUC
rnacentral:rRNA from 1 species